GUAGGUGGCAAGCGUUGUCCGGAAUUAUUGGGCGUAAAGCGCGCGCAGGCGGUCCUUUAAGUCUGAUGUGAAAGCCCACGGGCUCAACCGUGGAGGGUCAUUGGAAACUGGGGGACUUGAGUACAGAAGAGGAAAGCGGAAUUCCAAGUGUAGCGGUGAAAUGUGUAGAGAUUUGGAGGAACACCAGUGGCGAAGGCGGCUUUCUGGUCUGUAACUGACGCUGAGGCGCGAAAGCGUGGGGAGCAAACAGGAUUAGAUACCCUGGUAGUCCACGCCGUAAACGAUGAGUGCUAAGUGUUAGGGGGGUUUCCGCCCCUUAGUGCUGCAGCUAACGCAUUAAGCACUCAGCCUGGGGAGUACGGCCGCAAAGGCUG
rnacentral:rRNA from 1 species